CCUACGGGUGGCAGCAGUGAGGAAUAUUGGUCAAUGGGAGAAAUCCUGAACCAGCCAAGCCGCGUGCAGGACGACGGCUCUACGGGUUGUAAACUUCUUUUGUACCGGAGUAAAAUGCUCUACGUGUGCGUUUUUGCAAGUACUUUACGAAUAAGGAUCGGCUAACUCCGUGCCAGCAGCCGCGGUAAUACGGAGGAUCCGAGCGUUAUCCGGAUUCAUUGGGUUUAAAGGGAGCGUAGAUGGUUUUAUAAGUCAGUUGUGAAAUAUUGAUGCUCAACAGUGGGGUUGCCGCUGAUACUGGCAGACUAGAGAACAGAUGAGGUAGGCGGAAUGUGUAGUGUAGCGGUGAAAUGCAUAGAUAUUACGCAGAACACCGAUUGCGAAGGCAGCUUGCUAGGCCGGAACUGACAUUGAUGCACGAAAGUGUGGGGAUCGAACAGGAUUAGAUACCCUUGUAGUC
rnacentral:rRNA from 1 species